GACGAACGCUGGCGGCGUGCUUAACACAUGCAAGUCGAACGGAAAGGCCCUGCUUUUGUGGGGUGCUCGAGUGGCGAACGGGUGAGUAACACGUGAGUAACCUGCCCUUGACUUUGGGAUAACUUCAGGAAACUGGGGCUAAUACCGGAUAGGAGCUCCUGCUGCAUGGUGGGGGUUGGAAAGUUUCGGCGGUUGGGGAUGGACUCGCGGCUUAUCAGCUUGUUGGUGGGGUAGCGGCUUACCAAGGCUUUGACGGGUAGCCGGCCUGAGAGGGUGACCGGCCACAUUGGGACUGAGAUACGGCCCAGACUCCUACGGGAGGCAGCAGUGGGGAAUAUUGCACAAUGGGCGGAAGCCUGAUGCAGCAACGCCGCAUGCGGGAUGACGGCCUUCGGGUUGUAAACCGCUUUCGCCUGUGACGAAGCGUGAGUGACGGUAAUGGGUAAAGAAGCACCGGCUAACUACGUG
rnacentral:rRNA from 1 species